UAUUAUUGGUGUUUAUGCACUGGUGAUUACCCUGAGCAGUAUUGUUUUAAAAUGGAUUGAACGAGAGAGUUUGAUCCUGGCUCAGAUUGAACGCUGGCGGCAUGCCUAACACAUGCAAGUCGAACGGUAGCAGGCCUUCGGGUGCUGACGAGUGGCGGACGGGUUGAGUAAAUGCGUAGGAAUCUGUCUUUUAGUGGGGGACAACCCAGGGAAACUUGGGCUAAUACCGCAUGAGCCCUGACGGGGGAAAGCGGGGGAAUCUUCGGACCUCGCGCUAAGAGAAGAGCCUACGUCUG
rnacentral:rRNA from 1 species